AGAAUUCGGAACUGCUGUCAGAAAUUACAUUAUAAUAAUUAUCAUCAAUAUCAUUUUCUUUAUCACUAUUAUCAUUGUGAUCAUUGUUGUCAGAAUUACAAAUACACCUCUGUUCCAUAAUUUUGCUAAAUGGAAAUUUAAAAUACAUACACUUACAGAGUCAAGCAUAUUUUUCAUGUACAAAGAGGAUUAAUGAAGAGAUGAUGGGGAAGAAAGUGUAAAUCUAUAGAAUGUAUUCAUGUUUUGAGGUAUAAUGUGAAAAUUUAGCUUUGAAAGAAAGCAAUAAAAUUUGCGUUUUGUAAUUUAUACCUAGUUCGACACCCUCUGGGCCAGGACAAGGAACAGAUGCUGUCAAUACAAAUUGCAUCACUUUCAAAUUUAACAUAUUAUCAUCACAGAAUGCUACUUUUUUCAGUCUGAACUUGUAUCCUAGGUAUAUGAAAUAUUAUCUGUUCAUAGAACUUUUUCCCAAUUUGAAUAUAAAUGUACACCAGACCUGUGAUGGAUGAUUAUAGACCUCAUUUUCCUUCUCAGAAAAAAAUAAUUAGUAUUUCUCUUUUGCAAAAAGCAGGAACCAUUCAAAAUUUUACCUAAGAUAGGCAAACUUGUGAUUUAUAAUGUAUAUGUGUUUGUGUAUAAUAUUGAAUUACAGUAGAUUAAGCAGAGUAGUGUGCAUGCAUUUUACACAGCAUUUAAUUGAUAUUCAAAAUAUUUCUUAGAUGAAUGAAUGAAUGCACUCUGAAAGCAUUAGUCUACUUCAGCAGUUUUUGUUAGCAAUUAAGAGAUUGUUCUCCCUGAAGACAUUUAUACUUAAUGUAUAUUUUAAAAAUAGUAUGACACAUUUUUUCAAAUGAAAAGUGUUGUAUGUAUGUGUACAAUUACUUUUUUUAUUAGCUUCCUAAAUAUGAUUCUGCCCAAUAUUUAAUUGCUUCAGUCUUGUAUUCAAAACAUGAAUGAAACAUUCUAAUUUGACAUCCAGGUUUUCAAAAUAACUAAUAGGAAACUUGAAGUAAAGCAACACCUCUCUAAGCUUUGAAUCAUUUUCUACCAAUACUAUUUUCUUAAAAUUAUGUAUUUUAAAAAAUUAAUGGACAGGUAAACAUGGAGCUAAAAUGUUCCCUUUGGAUUUGCAGGCAAUUAUUUCGACUUGCAUCAUGAGAAAAUAAAACACCUUCACACAUGAAAAUGAUUAAGUUUGAAACAAUUGAAAUUUAUGAAGUAUACAUUAAAAAUAAAUGUUCUCGUUCCUCAGAGAACAAAACAUUUUGUUGGUUCCUGGAGUUUCUCUUUCUAAAUUAAGGUUGCUACCAUUUAACUGUCUCAUUUAUUCACUUACAUAUGGGAUUCUUUGAGAAAUCUAAGAUUCACUGAUGUCUUAACAAAUACAGGUGGGUACAUUAUGGAUGAGCGCACAUGUUGAAAUCUAAUAUAGUUUCACUUGGAACUUAUAUUAGAUUCAUUUAGUUUUGGAUACCAAAAAAUAAAUCUUUUAAUUCAUGUCUCUUCAUUUCCCCCAUAUAUUUGCCCCUUCUAUAUAUGACUGACAUAGAAGAUGAAGCUGAAAAUUUACAAUUUCAAGAUAUUCUUAGAAGAUAUCUGGUCUACUUUUUUGAGCUGUUAACAUUUUUCUGAGAGUUAACUUUUCUUGGGAAGAAAUGAAGUGGAAAUAUGGUUGCUGCCUAAGAAGUAAUAAUAGGAGAUACAGGAAGCAGUUUGAAAUGGAAUAGAAACAACUUGUGAUAGAGGACAGAAGCCAUAUCAGAAGUCACGGAAUUAAUUAUGUGAGUCUGGGAUCAGUGAGAGAUGAAAAUUGAGAAGAAAGAAAACUGUAAGACUCUGUGACUUGAAAAAUCCAGGAGAGACAGGCAACUGAAUUGCUACAUUGUAUUUUCUCUUAAACCCAAGAAAAUUCCCUGUGUUAGAACAACUUGAAUGAAAAGAAGAAUAAACAGGUGUCCAACAAUAACAUUUCCAAGAUAGGAAGAAAGCGAGGGUUCAAAACGGAGAAGAUGAAGCUGAAA
rnacentral:lncRNA from 1 species